UACGUAGGUAGCGAGCGUUGUCCGGAUUUACUGGGCGUAAAGAGCGCGCAGGCGGUCGUUCAAGUCGCGUGUGAAAGCCCCCGGCUCAACUGGGGAGGGUCACGCGAUACUGAUCGACUCGAAGGCAGGAGAGGGAAGUGGAAUUCCCGGUGUAGUGGUGAAAUGCGUAGAUAUCGGGAGGAACACCAGUGGCGAAGGCGACUUCCUGGCCUGUUCUUGACGCUGAGGCGCGAAAGCGUGGGGAGCAAACAGG
rnacentral:rRNA from 1 species